CGCACAACUUCCGUGUUUAGGCUGAAGCACAUGAACAGCAUGGACAGCGUGGUUCUCUAAUGAGCUGCUAAUACUGACGUUUUGGCUUUUAUUACUUUAUGCUGAUCUCCAAACGAUGACUGAUGAUUUUGAUGAGUUUGAUGUCAGUAAGCAGCAGGUCCAUGUGGAGUCAGAGAAGCCUGACUGAGUGGAUAAGAAGAGGAAUAUUAAUCCAGCAGCGGGCUCUGCUGCGGUUGUCGUGUGGAAGUGGAGGCGUAGGUGGCGCUCUCGCUCCUCCUGUAGACUGUGGGGUUACAGCAGAGCAGGCGGUGAAUGUGUGGACACAGUGCUUCCAGCAGCAUGGAAUCUCUGAGCCGCUUCUCUCCUCACACUACAUCAUAGCUCACGUACUGGGAAAGAAAACUCUGCAAAGUGUGGAGAGGAGAAGGCUCAAAGAAAGAUUGACUGACAAAGAAACGGAGAAAGUGUGGGUGCUAUGUUCCAAACGUCUGAUGAGGAUGCCGGUGCAGUAUGUGAUUGAAGAGUGGGACUUCAGAGAUCUGACCCUGAAGAUGAGACCUCCAGUGUUUAUUCCACGCCCCGAGACCGAGGAACUGGUUAGUUUGGUGUUAAAGGAUCUGCGGUCACAGUGGGGAAUGAGAACUUUGCGAUGCUUGGAGGUGGGAUGUGGAUCAGGUGCCAUCUCUCUGAGCCUACUGCAUAGUGUACCACAGGGGAGGAAACCAGGGUAUCCGGGGGAAACCCCCAAAGCACCGGGAGGACAUGCAACCUCCACUCACACAGGACAGAGGCAGAAAUCGAACCCAAUCCCAGAGCUCAAGGCAUUUGCACUGGACCAAAGCCAGGAAGCAGUGUGUCUCACUAAGGAAAAUGCAGGCAGACUGGGGCUCCUGGACAGACUUGAUGUUUAUCAUUUAGAUAUUAUUAAGGGUUUGAAGACCACUCAGCACUGGAUGGGGGUUUGGAUGGGAUGUCGGUAAUUAGACAGAUUCUAACUCUAGCGCCAAGACUCUUAACAGAUGGAGGGUAAGAGGAGGUGUGUGUGUGUGUGUGUAAAUGUGUUUGCUUUAAGGAUCCACCGUGGUAUAUCUGUUGCUCAGUGAAUAUGAUCUCAUGUCCCAGGUCUAGCAGACGGAGUAUAUUCCAGCAGAGUAUAAAUAGAAUGCUCUAAUCUCACUAAGGAGCUUUACCAGCAUUUCUUAUGUGGUUCAGGGAAUCCACUCCUGCUCACAGUCUUCCACACUUUCAUGGAAUCGGAUACUGGUGUUCCCAGGAUUAUAGGGCUCCUUUCUAGUAAUUGUCUCCAUAAUUCACACGGUGGUGAACUGUGUAACUUGUCCUUGAAAGUAAGUUAAAUAAUCCAACUUGCCACCUUCUUGUUUCAGGAAAUUUAUUACACAACAAGCUUGGAGAUAAUAGCUUGCGUGUGUGAGUGUGCGCACAUGUCAGCACUGAAUGUUUCUCUUGUUUCAAGAAUCCUUCCAAACAUCUCAAGUGUCUCAUGAAAAUUAUCACAGGCUCUGUCGAGGCCACUAAAUCUCAAGUCUGCAUUCCUUUCCUAGAAAUGCUGCUUUUUCUGCGAAAUCCAGAUUCCAUUAAAGCUCAUGUGUAUUAGAAAUGCUUUAGGGUCUUAUCUGUUACUGUGAUAAAAUCUGUUUCCUAUGAUUACACAUCCUCCCAGCUUUGCUUCCUGCAGUUGUUCAUUUGCUCUGUGCAUGCAUUUGUAUUCCAGGCGUAUGUAUCUUGAGAUAGAUCCACGCCAUCCUCCACUCAUAAAGUGUCUGGUAGAGGAAAGCAUACCGGGAUUGCAGUAUUUGGGAUCACACUGUGAUUACACAAACAGGUUGCGGUUCUGCAUUCUGCAGAAGAGCAGAUGACCUA